ACACAUGCAGUCGAGGGGCAUCAGAGUGUAGUAAUAUACUGCUGGCGACCGGCGCACGGGUGAGUAACGCGUAUGCAACCUGCCUACUACAGGGGGAUAGCCCUAAGAAAUUGGGAUUAAUACCGCAUAAAACAGGGGAACCGCAUGGUUUAUUUGUUAAAUGAUGAGAAUUGGUAGUAGAUGGGCAUGCGUUCCAUUAGCUGGUUGGAGAGGUAACGGCUCACCAAGGCAACGAUGGAUAGGGGCACUGAGAGGUUUGUCCCCCACACUGGGACUGAGACACGGCCCAGACUCCUACGGGAGGCAGCAGUGAGGAAUAUUGGUCAAUGGGCGAGAGCCUGAACCAGCCAAGUCGCGUGAAGGAAGACGGUUCUAUGGAUUGUAAACUUCUUUUUCAUGGGAGUAAAGUACGCUACGAGUGGCGUUUAGCAAGUACCAUGAGAAUAAGCAUCGGCUAACUCCGUGCCAGCAGCCGCGGUAAUACGGAGGAUGCGAGCGUUAUCCGGAUUUAUUGGGUUUAAAGGGUGCGUAGGCGGGGACCUAAGUCAGCGGUGAAAUGCACAGGCUCAACCUGUGAACUGCCGUUGAAACUGGGUUUCUUGAGAAUAGAUGAAGCAGGCGGAAUUAGUGGUGUAGCGGUGAAAUGCAUAGAUAUCACUAGGAACUCCGAAAGCGCAGGCAGCUUGCUAAGCUAUGACUGACGCUGAAGCACGAAAGUGUGGUUAUCGAACAGGAUUAGAUACCCUGGUAGUCCACACAGUAAACGAUGAUUACUAGUUGUUAGCGAUAUACCGUUAGUAACCAAGCGAAAGCGAUAAGUAAUCCACCUGGGGAGUACGCCGGCAACGGUGAAACUCAAAGGAAUGACGGGGGCCCGCACAGCGAGGACAUGUGUUUAUUCGAUGAUACGCGAGANUUACCCGGGCUUGAAUGCUCUGAUGGGAGUGGA
rnacentral:rRNA from 1 species